rnacentral:rRNA from 1 species
CCUACGGGAGGCAGCAGUGAGGAAUAUUGGUCAAUGGACGAGAGUCUGAACCAGCCAAGUAGCGUGAAGGAUGACUGCCCUAUGGGUUGUAAACUUCUUUUAUAUGGGAAUAAAAUGUUCCACGUGUGGGAUUUUGUAUGUACCAUAUGAAUAAGGAUCGGCUAACUCCGUGCCAGCAGCCGCGGUAAUACGGAGGAUCCGAGCGUUAUCCGGAUUUAUUGGGGUUAAAGGGAGCGUAGGUGGAUUGUUAAGUCAGUUGUGAAAGUUUGCGGCUCAACCGUAAAAUUGCAGUUGAAACUGGCAGUCUUGAGUACAGUAGAGGUGGGCGGAAUGCGUGGUGUAGCGGUGAAAUGCUUAGAUAUCACGAAGAACUCCGAUUGCGAAGGCAGCUUACUGGACUGCAACUGACACUGAGGCUCGAAAGUGUGGGUAUCAAACAGGAUUAGAUACCCUAGUAGUC